ACCUGUGACAUCAAGAUCAAGACCAAGCCAAGUGUAAACAAACCCCGGGUGGAGGCAAAGCAAGCCACGUGGUGACUGACCCUGGGGGAGCGGCGACCCCGUGGAGGCGACAAGGAGGUGAAGAGGACCAGGGGGACGCCACAGGGGAGGAGAGACGCCGUGGGGGGGCUGGGGGGAGAGGAGAAUUGUGACGUGCUCCUUGCCUUCCUCGCGACCCCAUAGUGGACGGAAGGGAGAGAGAGAGAGAGAGAGAGAGAGAGAGAGAGAGAGAGAGAGAGAGAGAGAGAGAGAGAGAGAGAGAGAGAGAGAGAGCAGUUAAGGAGAGGAAAGGAAGAAGAACAAAAAGAGGAAAGGGAAAAGAAGAGGAAAAGGAGGAGGAGGAGGAAGGGGGUUGGAACAGUGGAGGAAGGAAGGAAAACAAGGUGGAGGAGGAAACAGUCAAACGGAACUCGACUCUUUGAAGUGGAACAGUGGAGGAAGGAAGGAAAACAAGGUGGAGGAGGAAACAGUCAAACGGAACUCAACUCUCUGAAGUGGAACAGUGGAGGAAGGAAGGAAAACAAGGUGGAGGAGGAAACAGUCAAACGGAACUCAACUCUUUGAAGUGGAACAGUGGAGAAAGGAA